AUUGAACGCUGGCGGCAGGCCUAACACAUGCAAGUCGAGCGGCAGCGGGAAAGUAGCUUGCUACUUUUGCCGGCGAGCGGCGGACGGGUGAGUAAUGCCUGGGAAAUUGCCCAGUCGAGGGGGAUAACAGCUGGAAACGACUGCUAAUACCGCAUACGCCCUACGGGGGAAAGCAGGGGACCUUCGGGCCUUGCGCGAUUGGAUAUGCCCAGGUGGGAUUAGCUAGUUGGUGAGGUAAUGGCUCACCAAGGCGACGAUCCCUAGCUGGUCUGAGAGGAUGAGCAGCCAAACUGGAACUGAGACACGGUCCAGACUCCUACGGGAGGCAGCAGGGGGGAAUAUUGCACAAUGGGGGAAACCCUGAUGCAGCCAUGCCGCGUGUGUGAAGAAGGCCUUCGGGUUGUAAAGCACUUUCAGCGAGGAGGAAAGGUUGAUGCCUAAUACGUAUCAACUGUGACGUUACUCGCAGAAGAAGCACCGGCUAACUCCGUGCCAGCCGCCGCCGUAA
rnacentral:rRNA from 1 species